GACGUAGGGUGCGAGCGUUGUCCGGAUUUAUUGGGCGUAAAGAGCUCGUAGGCGUUCGUUGCGUCAGCUGUGAAAACCCGCAGCUUAACUGUGGGCUUGCAGCUGAUACGGGCGGACUAGAGUUCGGUAGGGGAGACUGGAAUUCCUGGUGUAGCGGUGAAAUGCGCAGAUAUCAGGAGGAACACCGGUGGCGAAGGCGGGUCUCUGGGCCGAUACUGACGCUGAGGAGCGAAAGCGUGGGGAGCGAACAGG
rnacentral:rRNA from 1 species